GGGCGGUUAGCUCAGUUGGGAGAGCGCGGCGUUCGCAACGCCGAGGCCGAGGGUUCGAACCCCUUACCGUCCA
rnacentral:tRNA from 1 species